CCGGAUUUACUGGGCGUAAAGGGCGUGUAGGCGGUCUUUCAAGCCCGAUGCUAAAGACUGGGGCUCAACCCCAGGGGUGCGUUGGAUACUGUGAGGCUAGACGGUCGGAGGGGGUAGCGGAAUUUCCGGAGUAGCGGUGAAAUGCGCAGAUACCGGAAGGAACGCCAAUAGCGAAGGCAGCUACCUGGACGACUUGUGACGCUGAGGCGCGAAAGCGUGGGGAGCAAACCGGAUUAGAUACCCGGGUAGUCCACGCCCUAAACCAUGAGUGCUGGGUGUCCGGCUUCUGCUGGGUGCCGUAGCUAACGCGCUAAGCACUCCGCCUGGGAAGUACGCACGCAAGUGUGAAACUCAAAGGAAUUGACGGGGGCCCGCACAAGCGGUGGAGCAUGUGGUUUAAUUCGAAGCGACGCGAAGAACCUUACCAGGCCUUGACAUGCCCGGAACCCCUCUGAAAGGAGGGGGUGCCCGCAAGGGAGCCGGGACACAGGUGCUGCAUGGCCGUCGUCAGCUCGUGUCGUGAGAUGUUGGGUUAAGUCCCGCAACGAGCGCAACCCCUAUCCCUAGUUGCCAGCAGUUCGGCUGGGCACUCUAUGGAGACUGCCUGCGAAAGCAGGAGGAAGGCGGGGAUGACGUCUGGUCCGCAUGGCCCUUACGGCCUGGGCGACACACGUGCUACAAUGCCAAGGACAGAGCGCUGCUACCUCGCGAGAGGACGCCAAUCGCAAAAACCUUGGCUCAGUCCGGAUUGGAGUCUGCAACUCGACUCCAUGAAGCCGGAAUCGCUAGUAAUCGCGAAUCAG
rnacentral:rRNA from 1 species